ensembl:lncRNA
CUUAUUCACCCAUCAUUGAGACCACCCAGAAUCAAUCUCAUCCUUAAGCCUUCAGGGAUUUGAGUGAAGUUCUUCUGUUUUUCCCUACUGAGACUCCUCUUCUCCAACCCCAAACUGUUCUUUCUCAUUAAGACAUGUUUCAAGCUCUUGCCCCAUCUUACUCUCUUACUCACCCUCUCCAGAUAUAAUCGUUUUCUAAGGCCCUAAACAAUGUUCCAAGUGUAGUCUGACCAGGGAGGAGUUAGGUAGAUAGCCACCUCCAUUGUUCUAGGUGAUAUAUCUCUUUUAAUGCAUCCUAAGAUCACAGUGCCAUUUUUGGAAUCUAUUCCAAAAAUCUCCAAGGUCUCUGGUAGGAAUCAGGUACCAUAAGCUGCUACAAAGAGAUGACGUUGUAAUUCCCGUGCUAUAGCAGAGUAAACUGAAGCUUGGAGAGGAGUGACCUGCUGGUGAGCAUCUAUCCAGUUACUCAGGGUUCUCCUGUCUCCAAACCUCAAGUUCUCCCCUCCUUUAACCAAGACAUUUUGGUCUCUCAGUUUCUUCAUCUGAAAAAUGCAGAAACUGGAUCUCUCCCAGCUCUGGCAUGCUCUGACUUGUCUUCUAAAUGCAGAGUCCAAAAGCCAAAGGGUGAACAGAACAAAGAAGCCUUGUGCCUAGAUCUAAAACUCCCAAGAGAAACAAAAAAGCUCCCUUUUCUACUCCUCAUCCCAGCCUUACCUACUCUGGAAACUUGGGAUUAAGUGAUGCAUGCUGUUGGUUAAUGGUAGUUCUAAAUUUGACAGUCGAGCCUCUGGGCUGCAGCAGUACAACUUUCUUGGCAAGUCAGCCCACAUCAUCUCUCCUAUUUCUUCCCUGUUCUCACUCCAUAAAAGUAUGUCUCACUGCACAUCCCAUUUUCAAAAUAUUUUUUCGUCUCACUCCCGUAGCAAGCCAAAUAACACUCUCCCAAAAUGCCUUUAAAACAAGAACACAGAGUCCUCCCUAAGCCCCAGGUGCAAAAUGGAUUUCGGAAAGCCGCUCUUCUUCUGGCCCUGUGUUCUCAUGCCAGGAGCACUGCCCCAGGGCUGUCUCAAAAGCUUCAUCCUUCACUAUGUUCUCAGUAACAUCUUCUCCCUGGGUACGUGUGCCCGCUGGUGCCCCACCUGUUUUUCUCCUGGUGGGAGAGGCACAGAGUCACAAUGUAAGGAACACAGUGGGUGUCACCAUCCACAUGCGACAGGAUGGGUCUCCUUCAGAUGGCUCCUCCAUCCCUUCUGACCAUACAGCUGCCCCAGCUUUUAACCAGAUAUAUCUGGUCCUGCGGUGGACAAAGCUCAAGCUCAGGCUCAGAUUCCCGCCACAGCCCAUACGAACACAAGCAGCACUAACCUUCGUCCUAAUUUCUUUGCAGGAGGAGGUGUAUAUAUCCCCAGGACCUGGUCCCAA